rnacentral:lncRNA from 1 species
ACAGCACGUGGCCCCAGCCCUGGGUCCCUGCCGUGGGGGUGGGACAGAGGGACAGGGAGAGGGCUGUGCACCCCCAGGGCGCUGCUCCCGCGGGCGUUGCUCUGGGCGAGGAGAGAUAAGGGCACUCUGUUCCCGGCCGCUUUGCCCAGCAGCCCAGAGGGCAGACGGGGUGCUCUCGCCGUUGGUGGGGACGUGGCAUGAAGGUUGAGGUUUUAAUCACACAGAUGUCAGGAAAUCGGGAGCGAUGGUUCCCAUGGUAACGCUAACUCUGCCCCUUGCCCGUGGCGCGGCGGCUGUGCGCGCGCGGGGCCGUAAUGGGCACCAUGUGGCUGAGCUACGGCUGCUCGGGGACCCAUAACUUUGAAUUUCCUGACUUGGGUGCAUUUAAAACCUCAGCCUUAAUGCCGCGCCGAGGCAGCUCUGCUGGCAGUUUACAGCUCUGUUGUUUUAGGGAAGGUAAACGGGAGGCAGGAGCCGCCCGGGCUGAGCCCUGCUGAUGAGGCAGGAGGAGCGGUCCGGGCAGGAGGGCUUGGGGUCAGCACCCCGGGUCCGAGGGCAGGAGGAGCAUGCAGGCACUGCCCCGUGCACCAUCCCAACGGCAAUGGCACGGUCCUGGUGGCUGCAGGGGACAGGACGGGGCCCGCGGGUGCAGCCGAGUGAGAGGGAGCAGCUGAGCAAUGUCUCACGGAGCAUGAAGAGCCGAUCCUCACGCUCUGCUGGCUGGGCACGCUCCCUCCCAGCUCCUCACGUCCCCAGGGCAGGAGAGCCCAUAGGAUCUGACCCGGCUGCGAUGAGAUGACAUCUUCCUCCCAGCCAUGAUGGGAGUCUGACACCCGGACCCUACUGAAAGCCACCCCCUAAAUUCCCGCAGGAACAGCCCCAAAGCCACAGGAACCCAGCGAUAUUUUUCAGGCAACAGCAAAAGGUGUCCAGGGCACCUUGUGAGAGCUCGUGCACAUAGCUCACAAUAGGGACUUCGUAAUUGAGGUUUUGCGCUUAAUGAAGGAAUAAAUUGAAUGGGAGUGUUGUCCUUAAUUGGGGU